rnacentral:rRNA from 1 species
AUUGAACGCUGGCGGCAGGCCUAACACAUGCAAGUCGGGCGAGCGGCGGACGGGUGAGUAAUGCUUGGGAAUCUAGCUUAUGGAGGGGGAUAACUACGGGAAACUGUAGCUAAUACCGCGUCCCAGAGGAUGAGCCCAAGUGGGAUUAGGUAGUUGGUGAGGUAAAGGCUCACCAAGGCGACGAUCUCUAGCUGGUCUGAGAGGAUGACCAGCCACACUGGGACUGAUGCACGGGCCAGACUCCUACGGGAGGCAGCAGUGGGGAAUAUUGCGCAAUGGGGGCAACCUGACGCAGCCAUGCCGCGUGAAUGAAGAAGGCCUUCGGGUUGUAAAGUUCUUUCAGUAGCGAGGCGUUGACUACAGAAGAAGCACCGGCUAACUCCGUGCCAGCAGCCGCGGUAAUAC